AAACUUCGCUGCCCCCAUUCACGGCUGUUCUCCAAAGGGGAGGCAAGCCUGAACGUUGGCAUGGCAGGGAGACAGCACAUCGGAAAACAGCAUCGACUUCCCCAUUCUGCUCAUGUCUGGUUGUGCAACUUGCUUCAAGUUACACAGCGCUCCACUUUACAAAGAUUUUCAAUAUUAAAUAGCCUCUUCUAUGGGUUCUGAACUGCGUCUGCUUUCAUCCAUCUCUUCAUUUUCACCCUACCAUUUUUAAACUCAGGAAGAAAUAAAGAAAUGCUGACAAGGCAUGCCAGUCUGAAUUCCCUGAGCAGUUGGCCUGUUUGACUUUGUGUGAUGGUGGGCCAACCUGUGUGCCUGCCGGCUCACACCACCGUAGCUCUUCAAACACAUUCUAUAGAUCCCGCUAAUAAAUUCCGUUUGGCUGCAACCCUUUCCCAGUUCCAGGCAGUUGCCUCUGAAGUGUAAGUGCAGCCUGUCUUGAAGCCAGGCUACUGCCACUUACUGGUGAUCUGUACCUCUUUGCAAAACUAAUCUACGCUGCAUUUAAAGACAGGAAGCAGGGUUUGAAUGAAAAUGCAGUACCAUGGCUAGAGGACACAGCUCUCACACCUUCUGCAGCUCCAGAAUAAGUGCUAUGUUUUAAAAAUAUAUAUGUAUGUGUUGGCAACAUUGAAAAGGGGGCUAAAAAAACAUCCCCCACAGAAGUGAGAGCAGCAGCAAAAGAAACGUUAGCGCCCUGCUGACGGGAACAAUAGAGCAUAUGGACAUCACACUGUGCUUGCCAAGCAGACGAGGGCAGGAUGAUCAAAAUGGAGUCAAUCUGCUUCUCUAAUAGCAGAAGAAUCGCCUGCGUGAAUACUCUCUCCAAGUGUGCACCGAGGCUCUUUAAUUGCCUGAGAAAGGAGAGAGGGUUUGGUUCACAUUUUAGCCAAGCAUAUGCCUUCCACUGGGUGCCUUUAUCUCAGAGCGCUUCCUGUGGGGAGUCUCAGGUGGCCACCAUCUGUGGAUCUACACACCUGAGACCUGGCACUAAGGCAGAACAUCACUCAGCAAGGGUUCCCGCACAGAAACCAUUCUUGACUGUCCCUGGGGUGGAGCUGAUUCCACCCGAGGCAUAGAAAAAGGUCUACUACAAAGCUCAGCUCAGGAGGAGAGUCGUCACUGUCCUCCAAGCGACUUCCUGGUUCCCACCUAUUUCCUUCUAAACCCAAUCCAAUCCCUUUCCCCUUCAGGAAAUCGAGUAGCAUGAAAGGUUACAAACCUCAAGGUCAACCUUUUUGUGUGUGUGCAAAUUUUUCAUCUUUAGUUCAAUAGUGAUUGAAAGGGAAAUGCAGAUGGCUUGACACAGCCCAUCACUUUUUCUGAGAACCAUCUGGAAAUAAAUUUCCUGUUGCUGUGAGUUGAAUUGUCCUUCUUACAACCAUGUUUGAUUGGCACUCUUGUAUCCUGUUUCCCUCCAUAAGGACUUUCCAACCCAAAAAGCACAGUGUGAGCAUAAGUAGAGGCCUUGUAUACUCUUUCCUGUGACUAAAGUAGUCUACACAAACACAACUCUGAAAUUUGGGUUUAAAGCACAAAAUGCUUCUCUGUUCUCUAGACUCAUGUAUCUAAGUGCCUGUUAAACAUUCUCAACUUGGAUGUCACACAGGGAUUCAAAAUUGUGUCACAAACAUAUUUCUCUCUCUGAAUCUCCACUGCCUCCUCUCCAGUCCAAAUUACAUCAUGUGUCACCUGGAAAACUACGAAACUCUCCCUCCCGAUUAGCAUUCUUCUAACCCUGAGCUCCCUUCCAUCUAUUUUCCAAACAAAAGAUAGAGUAUUUUUUAAACACCAAUUGUAUGACUUCACUUUCCUACUUAAAAUGUCUCAAUAAUUUCUCAUCACACUUCUGUUAGGAGCCAAACUUCU
rnacentral:lncRNA from 1 species